GAUAUACUCCCUCCGUUCGAAAUUACUUGUCGCAGAAAUGGAUGUAUCUACACGUAUUAUAGUUCUAGAUACAUCCAUUUCCGAGACAAGUAAUUCCGAACGGAGGGAGUACCUU
rfam:Triticum aestivum genome assembly, contig: Triticum_aestivum_CS42_TGACv1_scaffold_158488_2DL